rnacentral:rRNA from 1 species
UACGUAGGGAGCAAGCGUUGUCCGGAAUCAUUGGGCGUAAAGCGCGCGUAGGUGGCCCCGUAAGUCCGCUGUGAAAGUCAAAGGCUCAACCUUUGAAAGCCGGUGGAUACUGUGGGACUAGAGUACGGAAGAGACGAGUGGAAUUCCUGGUGUAGCGGUGGAAUGCGCAGAUAUCAGGAGGAACACCAAUAGCGAAGGCAGCUCGCUGGGACGUUACUGACACUGAGGCGCGAAAGCGUGGGGAGCGAACAGG